CUACGGGACGCACCAGUGGGGAAUAUUGCACAAUGGGCGCAAGCCUAAUGCAGCCAUGCCGCGUGUAUGAAGAAGGCCUUCGGGUUGUAAAGUACUUUCAGCGGGGAGGAAGGGAGUAAAGUUAAUACCUUUGCUCAUUGACGUUACCCGCAGAAGAAGCACCGGCUAACUCCGUGCCAGCAGCCGCGGUAAUACGGAGGGUGCAAGCGUUAAUCGGAAUUACUGGGCGUAAAGCGCACGCAGGCGGUUUGUUAAGUCAGAUGUGAAAUCCCCGGGCUCAACCUGGGAACUGCAUCUGAUACUGGCAAGCUUGAGUCUCGUAGAGGGGGGUAGAAUUCCAGGUGUAGCGGUGAAAUGCGUAGAGAUCUGGAGGAAUACCGGUGGCGAAGGCGGCCCCCUGGACGAAGACUGACGCUCAGGUGCGAAAGCGUGGGGAGCAAAUAGGAUUAGAUACCCCCGUAGUC
rnacentral:rRNA from 1 species